UACGUAGGGCGCGAGCGUUGUCCGGAAUUACUGGGCGUAAAGCGUGCGCAGGCGGUUUUGUAAGCCAGAUGUGAAAGCCCCGGGCUUAACCUGGGAAUGGCAUUUGGGACUGCAAGGCUUGAGUGCGGCAGAGGAGACUGGAAUUCCUGGUGUAGCAGUAAAAUGCGUAGAUAUCAGGAGGAACACCGAUGGCGAAGGCAGCCUCCUGGGCCAAUACUGACGCUCAUGCACGAAAGCGUGGGGAGCAAACAGG
rnacentral:rRNA from 1 species